rnacentral:lncRNA from 1 species
AGCAACGCCUGCAACGAUGCCAGAAUGUGACUCGUUACUUCCCUGAAUACUGUGAGCCUGUCCCGGACGGAGACUCAACGAGGAUACUCUCAGAAUUGGCUAAAGACACAAAGACUUAUCUCAUUGGAGGUGAGAGUUAGGCAGUUAAAAAUACUAUGGCUGCACUGCCUACACCUUGACCAUGCUUAAAAGCCAUGAUGUUGAAACACAUGAAUAGCUUGCUUGCUGGCAAGGCAACGAUAGACUUCUCUCUUUUAAACCUAUAACAAAGGACAGGAGAUGGUUUGAAUCUCUGAAAAUUUGAGCAACAUAUAAUGUAUCAGCUAAUCUCUACUCUGCAUGAAAGCAGAGAUACUAGUACCUCUGCUGAAAGUUAAAGUUUCCACCAUUCUUCGUCAGUUCUAACCCUCUCCAUCAUAAGUGACAGGGGUUAGCAUAUUGUUUGAAUUUGAUGCUAAUCACAAAUUCUGGCUAUCAAUAGUGUACAUCAAUAGACUUCCCCUAUUUCUUUUAAUAUUCUCUCACGUCCUGUACUAGACCACAGUGCUGCUAGAAUUGAUGUCAAGCAUUUUACAAUUUACCUGCGUUGAUAUUUAAAGACUAGUUAUUGGUACUUUUGUAAGGAUUAAUUAACAGAGUUUUCAGUGUCUAUAGGAUUUGGAAAUUUUUGACUAAAUGUGAGAGGUAUUUCAUCUCAUAUGGCCCUUGGAUUCAGUCUCUCCUGUAUGUCAUUCUAUCUGGUCUGUCUGUUCAGUUUAUUGCUUGUACUCACUGUCUUGCUAUAAUGCUGUUGAACUCCUUCAUGCUUAAGUGGUACCUGGGCUAAUAGUUCCAAUAUUGCAAUAGAUAUUAAUGUAUUUAGUGCAAGUAUUACUCAAAAGUAUAUUGUUUCACUUUAUUGGGCUAUUAGCACUUGGCAGUCUCACAUCAGUUGGUGGUGACAUUCAUGCUGUUUCAUUAUCAGAGAAGCUCAUUGCACUUGUUUUGAUGGUGUGGGGUGUGGUCAGGUACGGGUACAUUCUUGAAGGCGUGACCUCAACUCUGACCAAUCUUGAUGCAGCAAGAGGCAAGUACACUUAACAACUUCAGCCAAUCAAGAGUUACAUAUGAAAAUUGCAAAGAUUAGUUUAGUAUUAUUUAGAAGAGUUACCGACUAAUUGGAAUAUAAUUGGAGUUAUAGGAGUGGUGUUAUUGGUAAUUAAAGAUCUAUUAGAGGACCUUCCACUUGCACUUAGGAAUGAUGCAAGAAAUGAAAUGUAUCAAGACACUAUGAUAGCAUCCAAGUUAUUUCAUAGAAUGUCCCGUGUUUUUGAGGGUUUGAUGCUCUAGCUUCUAAAGUAAAGGAAUUGUUUUUCCUACCACAUCAAAUGAUUAUAUGAAACUGAUCAAUACCUUACUUCGGACUGCUGAAGCUGCUGAAGAAGCUGAUCCAAUUCAUUUAUUAAAGGAACUAAAGCCAGGAGAUGUUUUUGGAGAAGCAAUGCUGCAUAUAUUGAAAUGUUGAAAAAGAGAGGAGAGCAUUACAAAAGAGAAAUGGAACAAUCAAAAUAUAAUAAUGUGAUACUAAGUUAUAUGAGAAGCAAGUUUCCUACAGUAUCAAGGCUGGUUUCUCAAGCUACCAUCACUCAGUUAGUUUUUCUAAUGCUCCAGGUUUAUUGAUACCGACACCGAUACCUUAUUGACCUAAUACUUGUUAUUGACAUUAUAAUAUCAUUGAAGAAAUCAUUUGUCAUGGCUAAAGGUUAUGAAAGAGACCCAAUGACUAUAGCAUUAGCUUAUUCAAGUUCCUUUACAUUCCUGGUUAAUGUGGCAGCUUUAGUACCACAGAGAUACUAGCAGCUAGUCAUGUGUUGUUGCUAUUAAACUAAACUGGGCUGUAGCUUUUAAAAUAGACUGAUUGAAGCUAUGGAAGGUAAGCUAAAGAUACAGGUACAUUGCACAAACAAAAAUCUUUCUUACUGACAUGUACAUGUAGGGGAUUCUCUGGUUUGAUACUUGAUAGGUUAGAAAAGUCACUUCAUCAUUCCAUAUCAAGGCUUAGAGGUCUUAAGUUCUUAAUGUACAUCAUAUUGAUAACUCACUGGUCAGCUUGUGCCUGGUUCUCAAUAGCUUGUGAUCAGUUACUGGUACAGAGGUAAGACUGUAGCAUGUGCUCCUGGUAAGAGAUAGAGCCAACAAUAUACUGACUAAGCAGUGCAAGCCAACCAGUUGGAUUACUAUGAAUAACAUUGGAUGCUCCUCCUCAUCAGUCAUUCAUAACUAUAUAUUAUCAUUAUACUGGUCAACAACUACAACCACACUAUUUGGAUAUGGUGACAUUGCACCAGUGAAUAAUGAUGAGAGGGUAUUAGCAAUACGUGUCAUGUUACUUGGUAUUUGGUGCUAUGGGUAUAUGCCUGUUGCUGCUAUCAUCACUCAUACACAGUAACCUAGGGUUCAGUUUCAGAAGAGAUUACAAGCUGUCCAGGAGUUUAUGAAACACAAUAAAUUGAAUAGAGGUUAAUGACUUAUGGACUAAAUCAAAAGGUACUAAAAAAUCAGUCCUUUCUCAAUUUCACUCUCAUUUCAAUAAGAUAUAAAAAUGGAGGAGUGUUUUCCAUUGCUGUCAAGAGUCAUGCUCUUUAAUGAAGUAUCAAACGAGGACUUCAUGAAACGAAUAUCUCUAUCAUCAGUAACACACUAUUUUAAUAUUGAAGACAUCAUCCUAUAUCAUGGAGAGAAACUUAUAUUGUGUUUAAAAAAGGCUACUUAGAGGAUCUCUCUCAUGUGAUAUGGACUGCUUUUCCUGGUGGUAGACCUGGGUUUCAUUCUUGGGAUGCCACUAAUAGCAACAGUUCAGUCAGCAAGCCAGAGUGAAGUAUUGAAUAAUCUUAUACCAUGAUAAAAAAGAAGAUCUAAAGAAGAGAGAGAUAAAGACUGUUUGUGUAUCAAUAUGGACACUAAUGAACAUACAAUUGUGCUGUAUGGUAGCGAACAAUCUUUCUUGUUUAUGCUGCAACAAACACUGUAGUCAAAAUAUUUGAUUUGAGCCCAUGCAUUUUUAAGAUCGAUAUAUUAAUAGUA